rnacentral:rRNA from 1 species
AUGGGGGGACCCAUGACCGAGCAACGCCGCGUGAGUGAAGAAGGUUUUCGGGAUCGUAAAGCUCUGUUGUUAAGGAAGAACGUGUGUGAGAGUGGAAAGUUCACGCCAGUGACGGUACUUAACCAGAAAGGGACGGCUAACUACGUUGCCCAGCCAGCCCGCGGUAUUACGUUAGGUCCCGAAGCGUUGUCCGGAUUAUGGGGCGUAAAGCGAGCGCAGGCGGUUAGAUAAGUCUGAAGUGAAAGGCAGUGGCUCAACCAUUGUAGGCUUGGGAACUGUUUAACUGAGUGCAGAAGGGGAGAGUGGAAUUCAUGUGUAGCGGUGGAAUGCGUAGAUAUAUGGAGGAACGCCGGUGGCGAAGCGGCUCUCUGGUCUGUAACUGACGCUGAGGCUCGAAAGCGUGGGGAGCGAACAGGAUGAGAUACCCUGGUAGUCCACGCCGUAAACGAUGAGUGCUAGGUGUAAGGUCCUUUCCGGGACUUAGUGCCGCAGCUAACGCAUUAAG